UGACCACUUCCAUCAAGAAGUUAAGGCCAUACGGACAGCCGGGUCAAAUGCCGA
rnacentral:sRNA from 1 species